AGAGUGAACGCUGGCGGUAGGCCUAACACAUGCAAGUCGAACGGCAGCACAGUAGGAGCUUGCUCUUACGGGUGGCGAGUGGCGGACGGGUGAGGAAUACAUCGGAAUCUACCUUUUGGUGGGGGAUAACGUAGGGAAACUUACGCUAAUACCGCAUACGCCCUUCGGGGGAAAGCCGGGGACCAGCAAUGGCCUGGUGCUGAUAGAUGAGCCGAUGUCGGAUUAGCUAGUUGGUGAGGUAAUGGCUCACCAAGGCGACGAUCCGUAGCUGGUCUGAGAGGAUGAUCAGCCACACUGGAACUGAGACACGGUCCAGACUCCUACGGGAGGCAGCAGUGGGGAAUAUUGGACAAUGGGCGCAAGCCUGAUCCAGCCAUACCGCGUGGGGUCGAAGGAAGG
rnacentral:rRNA from 1 species